UCCUGCCACAGGUCCAGUGACCCUGUCAGAAGCGGGCUGAAAGGCCCUGGCCCUACUCUGUCGUAUGGACCGCUCAGGAUCCAAGAACCCAGGAAUAAAGGCACCCUGGCAGGUUCCUUGCCACUGUGGGCAUUCAUCCUCAUGGGAACAUUCAUGGUGAACUGGAGAUAAAUGUCUUUCCCCCAAGAGGGUAAACAACACCCAUCCUUUUCUCGCCUUUAGAAGCCGGAGUGAUCCUGGGUAACACAGAAGAGUUGGU